rnacentral:rRNA from 1 species
GGUUACUGCUAUCGGUGUUCGCCUAAGCCAUGCGAGUCAUAUGUUCGUAAGAACAUAGCGUACUGCUCAGUAACACGUGGAUAACCUGCCCUUGGGUCCGGCAUAACCCCGGGAAACUGGGGAUAAUUCCGGAUAACGCACAUAUGCUGGAAUGCUUUAUGCGUAAAAUGGAUUCGUCUGCCCAAGGAUGGGUCUGCGGCCUAUCAGGUAGUAGUGGGUGUAAUGUACCUACUAGCCUACGACGGGUACGGGUUGUGAGAGCAAGAGCCCGGAGAUGGAUUCUGAGACAUGAAUCCAGGCCCUACGGGGCGCAGCAGGCGCGAAAACUUUACAAUGCGGGAAACCGUGAUAAGGGGACACCGAGUGCCAGCAUCCUAUGCUGGCUGUCCGGGUGUGUAAAAUACACCUGUUAGCAGGGGCCGGGCAAGACCGGUGCCAGCCGCCGCGGUAACACCGGCGGCCCGAGUGGUGAUCGUGAUUAUUGGGUCUAAAGGGUCCGUAGCCGGUUUGGUCAGUCCUCCGGGAAAUCUGACAGCUUAACUGUUAGGCUUUCGGAGGAUACUGCCAGACUUGGAACCGGGAGAGGUAAGAGGUACUACAGGGGUAGGAGUGAAAUCUUGUAAUCCCUGUGGGACCACCUGUGGCGAAGGCGUCUUACCAGAACGGGUUCGACGGUGAGGGACGAAAGCUGGGGGCACGAACCGGAUUAGAUACCCGGGUAGUCCCAGCCGUAAACGAUGCUCGCUAGGUGUCAGGCAUGGCGCGACCGUGUCUGGUGCCGCAGGGAAGCCGUGAAGCGAGCCACCUGGGAAGUACGGCCGCAAGGCUGAAACUUAA